rnacentral:rRNA from 1 species
GAUGAACGCUGGCGGCGUGCCUAAUACAUGCAAGUCGAGCGAACAGACGAGGAGCUUGCUCCUCUGACGUUAGCGGCGGACGGGUGAGUCACACGUGGAUAACCUACCUAUAAGACUGGGAUAACUUCGGGAAACCGGAGCUAAUACCGGAUAAUAUAUUGAACCGCAUGGUUCAAUAGUGAAAGACGGUUUUGCUGUCACUUAUAGAUGGAUCCGCGCCGCAUUAGCUAGUUGGUAGGGUAACGGCUUACCAAGGCGACGAUGCGUAGCCGACCUGCGAGGAUGAUCAGUCACACUGGAAAUGAGACACGGUCCAGACGACGACGGGAGGCAGAAGUGGGGAAUAUUGGACAAUGGGCGAAAGCAUGAUCCAGCCAUGGCGCGUGUGUGAAGAAGGUCUUCGUAUUGUAAAGCACUUUAAGUUGGGAGGAAGGGAAGUAAGUGAAUACCUGGCUGUUUUGACGUUACCAACAGAAUAAGCACCGGCUAACUUCGUU